rnacentral:rRNA from 1 species
UACAGAGGUCCCCAAGCGUUGUUCGGAUUCACUGGGCGUAAAGGGUGCGUAGGCGGUCGGGUAAGUCUGAUGUGAAAUCUCACAGCUUAACUGUGAAACUGCAUUGGAUACUAUCCGGCUCGAGGAAUGGAGGGGAGACUGGAAUACUUGGUGUAGCAGUGAAAUGCGUAGAUAUCAAGUGGAACACCAGUGGCGAAGGCGAGUCUCUGGACAUUUCCUGACGCUGAGGCACGAAAGCCAGGGGAGCAAACGGG